UUUCCGUAGGUGAACCUGCGGAAGGAUCAUUAUUGAAUGAACUUGGCGUGGUUGUCGCUGGCCCUCUCGGGGGUAUGUGCACGCCCGUCAUCUUUAUCUUUCCACCUGUGCACACUUUGUAGACUUGAAUAGUAUUUUCUGAGGCAACUCAGUCGGGAGGAUUGCUGGUUUUUAUCAGCUCUCCUUGCAUUAUUCAAGCCUAUGUUUUUCAUAUACCCCAAAAAUGUAACAGAAUGUAUCAUUGGGCCUUGUGCCUAUAAACUAUAUACAACUUUCAGCAACGGAUCUCUUGGCUCUC
rnacentral:misc_RNA from 1 species